rnacentral:ncRNA from 1 species
GAAUGCCAAAGCCACACCCGCAGCGAUGCGGGGCCGGAAAGCCCUGGGUCUUGUCCAAGACAGCCGGGUUGCCUCA